GGGGUCGGUUGACUUUAGGUGGAUGCGCCACAGAGAGACAGAGAAUAUGGGCAGAAGGGUCAGCAAGGUGGCAUAGGAAACCUGUGCUCUUCUCGGGCCUUUUUUUCUCUAUCUUACGCUCCAUAAUGACACCGAAGAAAACCCAAACUAGAAAAAAGAAGCCGACAAACUCAACUUGGAGACCUAAUAUACAGAGAGUGCUGCCUAAUUUCCUUGAUGCAGCUAAGCAAAUCUUCAUCUCAAGAAAGCGUCUCCAAAGUCCAAAACACAGAUAAAACACCUGUCUUCCGAUCGCUUAUUGUAUUUGGGCGGAAAAGUUCUCCGUCCUUAAUCUUGACAGUAUAGAUUAUCUGCAACGGUAAUAAACCCAUGACAUCUCUUCCUUCCCCUUCCAAAUCCUCCGGUGCCAGGAAACCAAUCCAAGAACACGUCUUUUCCUUUCAGGAAGCAGGGAGACCAACAAAUCGUGCGCACAUCAAAGCUAAGAGAGGUC
rnacentral:lncRNA from 1 species